rnacentral:rRNA from 1 species
GAUGAACGCUAGCGGCAGGCUUAAUACAUGCAAGUCGAGGGGCAGCGCAGUGUAGCAAUACAUGGGCGGCGACCGGCAAACGGGUGCGGAACACGUACGCAACCUACCCAUGACUGAUGAAUAGCCCUCCGAAAGGAGGAUUAAUACAUCGUAACAUAAUGAAGUGGCAUCACUUUAUUAUUAUAGCUCCGGCGGUUUUGGAUGGGCGUGCGCCCGAUUAGGUAGUUGGCGGGGUAAUGGCCCACCAAGCCUGCGAUCAGUAACUGGUGUGAGAGCACGACCAGUCACACGGGCACUGAGACACGGGCCCGACUCCUACGGGAGGCAGCAGUAAGGAAUAUUGGUCAAUGGACGCAAGUCUGAACCAGCCAUGCCGCGUGAAGGAUGAAGGUCCUCUGGAUUGUAAACUUCUUUUAUAUGGGACGAAACCUCUUAUUCUUAAGAGACUGACGGUACCAUAGGAAUAAGCACCGGCUAACUCCGUGCCAGCCGCCGCCGUAAUAC